rnacentral:hammerhead_ribozyme from 2 species
AGUCGAAACGCCCCGCCCGGGGCGUCUGCCGGAGAUGGCCUACCGGCACUGAUGAGACAGGCCCAC